UUAAUCAAUCGUGCUUCAUUUAAAAGAAAAAGGCCAACGGCCCAAUGUCAAAAAACUAUCAAUAUAUCAUCAUUAAAUAAAGCAAUAGCAUUUGACAAAAAAAAAUAAAGCAAUAGCACCACACAACUAGUGGAAGCAAAAGAUCGAGAAACAAAAAAAAAGCCAAAAAGACACAAUAUGAUUAGGCACCUGGGAGGGAUGGUUUUCCUGCUCUUUUUUAUCAGAAUUUCAGGCAUGUGUGCACUUGUGAGUACCAUCGGGAAGUUUAAAUUACAUAUCUCUACCCAUGUACCUAUCUCUCCAAUGGUGAUUAAUUUAACUAUUUCAGGUUCAUGUAUCAGCUAUCAUUUCUAAUGGACCUUUCAGGGUGAACUCAGCUGGGUCCCCAAUUUACCUGCUCAGUCCAUCAUUUGCAGCUUUAUUGUUGUAGUAUCUUCCUGUGUGUUGAUAUAGCCAUCCAAGCUUUCCACCAAACAGCAUAAGGCUUGUAGAAGCCCAUCAUCUUCAAAAUCGAUCUGUCCACGAUGUCAAAGCUAAUAUGGUAGAAUUUUGGAGUGGCUGAGCUGAAAUAUUUGUGAAUAACUAAAACUUUGUUGUUAUUUUAAUCAUUCACUUUGCUGUUAUUUUUCUGUUUCUAGCAUCGAGUGGGUUCAUUUGAGAUUCUUUCAAACUGGGCUGUUCAUAAUUAAAUCUAAUAGUUGUGAUUUA